rnacentral:rRNA from 1 species
AUGGCGGAUUUCCAGCAGGGCGUGAACUUUGCGUACGGUAGGUCGACGGCGCUUGGCCCGGAGUUCUUCGAGAGCAAAGGGUUUACGCUGUUAAUGCCCGUCUCGCUCGCAAACCAGACCGAGUGGUUCAAGAAUGUUCUACAACUAGCGGGCUCGGUAGAAGAGCAGAGGAAGCUGAUGGCCACGUCGCUGGUCAUGAUGGGAGAGAUGGGAAUCCACGACUACCUCAUCUUCGUCACCGGAAAGCUCACCGAGGUGGAGAUCCGGACAUUCGUGCCGCACAUCGUCGGCGCCAUCCGUUCAGUCAUCACCGAGGUGAUCGAUGCGGGAGCGAAAACGGUGGUGGUCCGGGGGAUGAUACCGCUGGGCUGCCAGCCGCUGCUGAUGCUGUCCCUCUUCGAGGGCACCGGCGCCGACUACAGCCGGCCGACCGGCUGCCUGGCACGGCUCAACGACCUCGCCAGGAAGCACAAUCACGCGCUCAUAGGCAUGAUCCUAGAACUCCGGCGCGCGUACCGCGGCACCGGCGUAUCCAUCCUCUACGCGGACCAGAUGGACCCCGUCAUCAAACUUGUCUUCGAGCCCAGCAAGUACGGGUUCGGGGACAAGCCCCUGGCGGCGUGCUGCGGAGGGAGCGGCACCUACAACUUCGACCCCACCUUCGCCACCCUCUGCGGCAUGCCCGGGGCUAACAAGUGCGCCGACCCGUCCAAGUACGUCUCGUGGGACGGGGUACACUUGACCGACGCCGCCAACCGGCAUGUCGCCGGAAAUGUGCUGAGGUCCACCAUGUUGCGCCAAACGUCAUAUACUGCGGACCAAGCCUCCAGCUAG